rnacentral:rRNA from 1 species
GAAACGGCGUCUAAUACUGGAUAUGAGCCUCUAUCGCAUGGUGGGGGUUGGAAAGAUUUUUUGGUCUGGGAUGGGCUCGCGGCCUAUCAGCUUGUUGGUGAGGUAAUGGCUCACCAAGGCGUCGACGGGUAGCCGGCCUGAGAGGGUGACCGGCCACACUGGGACUGAGACACGGCCCAGACUCCUACGGGAGGCAGCAGUGGGGAAUAUUGCACAAUGGGCGGAAGCCUGAUGCAGCAACGCCGCGUGAGGGAUGACGGCCUUCGGGUUGUAAACCUCUUUUAGCAGGGAAGAAGCGAGAGUGACGGUACCUGCAGAAAAAGCGCCGGCUAACUACGUGCCAGCAGCCGCGGUAAUACGUAGGGCGCAAGCGUUAUCCGGAAUUAUUGGGCGUAAAGAGCUCGUAGGCGGUUUGUCGCGUCUGCUGUGAAAUCCCGAGGCUCAACCUCGGGCCUGCAGUGGGUACGGGCAGACUAGAGUGCGGUAGGGGAGAUUGGAAUUCCUGGUGUAGCGGUGGAAUGCGCAGAUAUCAGGAGGAACACCGAUGGCGAAGGCAGAUCUCUGGGCCGUAACUGACGCUGAGGAGCGAAAGGGUGGGGAGCAAACAGGCUUAGAUACCCUGGUAGUCCACCCCGUAAACGUUGGGAACUAGUUGUGGGGACCAUU